GAGUUACACUGUUUGUGAUAUGGUACAUGACCUGGUCAAUCUUAGGCUCUGAAGCUCUCCCUGGUGGAAAUUUAUUUGGAUUGUUAAUUAUUUUUUAUAGUGCCAUUAUUGGGGGAAAAAAUUUACAACUCAUUAGAAUACCUUUAGUGCCGCCAUUUCCACCUCUUCUUGGGAUGUUACUGGCUGGUUUUACAAUUAGGAAUGUUCCAUUCAUCAAUGAACAUGUCCAUGUUCCUAACGCAUGGUCUUCAAUUUUAAGAAGCAUUGCCCUUAACAUUAUUCUAAUACGAGCUGGGCUUGGACUCGAUCCACAGGCUUGGAGGCAUUUGAAGGUGGUUUGUUUCAGAUUGGCUGUAGGUCCAUGCCUUAUGGAGGCAAGUGCAGCUGCUGUUUUUUCCCACUUCAUUAUGAAAUUUCCCUGGCAAUGGGCAAUUCUAUUAGGUUUUGUUUUAGGUGCUGUCUCUCCUGUUGUUGUUGUCCUUUACAUGAUGGUGUUGCAAGAAAAUGGAUAUGGUGUUGAGGAAGACAUUCCAACCUACUAAUGGCUGCUAGCAGUAUGGAUGACAUUCUGGCUAUCACUGGAUUCAAUACAUGCUUGAGCAUAGUCUUCUUCUCGGGUGGUAAGCUUAAUAACGCCAUAGCCUCUAUAAGGAACGUAUGUAUUAGUCGGCUGGCAGGAAUUGUUUUGGGAUUUUUUGUUUGAUAUUUUCCAAGUGAAGACCAAAAAAACUUACAUUGAAGAGAGGAUUCCUUGUUUUGACUACGUGUGUUUCUGCUGUCUUAGGCAGCCAACGUAUUGGUUUACAUGGAUCUGGAGGAUUAUGCACAUUAGUGUUGAGUUUCAUUGCAGGGACAAAAUGGUCCCAAGAAAAGAUGAAAGUCCAAAAGAUUAUUACAAAUGUAUGGGAUAUUUUUCAACCACUUCUUUUUGGUUUAGUUGGAGCAGAAGUAUCUGUUUCAUCGCUUGAAUCAAAUAUUGUUGCAUAUCUGUUGCCACUCUGAGUUUGGCAUUAUGUGUUCGAAUUUUAACCACAUAUCUAUUGAUGUGCUUUGCUGGUUUUAGUUUUAAGGAGAAAAUAUUUAUUGCUUUAGCAUGGAUGCCCAAAGCUACAGUACAGGCUGUGUUAGGUCCUCUGGCUCUAGAAACAGCAAGAGUCUCUGCACCCCACUUGGAACCAUAUGCGAAGGAUGUGAUGUCAGUAGCAUUUUUAGCCAUCUCGAUCACAGCUCCAAAUGGAGCUCUACUUAUGGGCAUUCUGGGGCCUAAAAUGCUUACACGCCAUUAUGAUCCAAGCAAAAUAAAACUGCAAUUGUCAACAUUAGAACAUCAUUAA
rnacentral:lncRNA from 1 species